AUUGAACGCUGGCGGCAUGCCUGACACAUGCAAGUCGAACGGCAGCGCGGGUAGCAAUACCUGGCGGCGAGUGGCGGACGGGUGAGGAAUACAUCGGAAUCUACCCAGUCGUGGGGGAUAACGCAUCGAAAGGUGCGCUAAUACCGCAUACGACCGAGAGGUGAAAGCGGAGGACCGAAAGGCUUCGCGCGAAUGGAUGAGCCGAUGUCGGAUUAGCUAGUUGGCGGGGUAAGAGCCCACCAAGGCGACGAUCCGUAGCUGGUCUGAGAGGAUGAUCAGCCACACUGGGACUGAGACACGGCCCAGACUCCUACGGGAGGCAGCAGUGGGGAAUAUUGGACAAUGGGCGCAAGCCUGAUCCAGCAAUGCCGCGUGUGUGAAGAAGGCCUU
rnacentral:rRNA from 1 species